CCUCAACACUGUUAGAGUUCCACCUCACCUGUUGAUCUCACUGCUCACUCUGCUCUCUCUGACACUCUCUGGAAAGGAUGAAGUGCUUUGUGAUCCUUCUGGUGCUGACGCUCGUCAUCUUCAUGUCUGAACCCACGGAGGGGCGGCGGGGCGGAGGCUCUAGAUCCCGUUGGUGGAAAAAAUGGCGAGGAAACCGAAGGACCAAUGAGAUUGUUCCCGUUUAUACCCCGCUGCAAGGAGGCGACGGCUCCCUACCUCCCACCGACGAUCAGGAUCUGGAGUUUUUUCUGGACUGAGCGUUCACGAAGAAACAACAUUUAAGUUUAAGUUCAAUGCAACUUAAAUGUGAAAUUCGGUGCUUUGCAAUGCAAGAAACCAAAAUUAGAUCAGCCAGAAACCACGCAGGCAUCAGCUCCACGUGGUUCUGAAAAAUGUGAAAUGCUUCUGCAAACUGUGAUGACAAAUAAAACUGCAAGAGAAAAAGUCAAA